rnacentral:rRNA from 1 species
GCAUGAAGCUGGAAUUGCUAGUAAUCGCGGAUCAGCAUGCCGCGGUGAAUACGUUCCCGGGCCUUGUACACACCGCCCGUCACACCAUGAGAGUCGGGAACACCCGAAGCCUGUGAGCUAACUUUUAGAGGCAGCAGUCGAAGGUAGAAUCAAUGAUUGGGGUGAAGUCGUAACAAGGUACC